CUGCACCAGCCUCUAAGACAUGGCCUUUGCCUCUGUCAACAGACCAAUGUAUCAAAUCAAAUGUGACAGCAACAGGGCCUCCAGUACUAUCCAGCAGACCUGGAAUAGCUGAUACCUGGUACUCGAUCUCCUACCUUUACUACAGUGCAGUGGGCUGCUUAGGAUGCAUUGUUGCUGGAGUAAUCAUCAGCCUCAUAACAGGUCGCCAAAGAGGUGAGGAUAUUCAACCACUGUUAAUUAGACCAGUUUGUAAUUUAUUUUGCUUUUGGUCUAAGAAGUACAAAACACUAUGCUGGUGUGGAGUUCAGCAUGACAGUGGGACAGAGCAGGAAAACCUUGAGAAUGGCAGUGCCCGGAAACAGGGGGCUGAAUCUGUCUUACAGAACGGACUCAGAAGAGAAAGCCUGGUACAUGUUCCAGGCUAUGAUCCUAAGGACAAAAGCUACAACAAUAUGGCAUUUGAGACUACCCAUUUCUAAGGCAAUACCUGUAUGAAUGCACACACACACGUGCAAUACACACACACACACACAAACUCCACAUACUUCUUGCCUACUUGUUAGUAGAUAUGUAUAGUUGCCAUUGCUAGAAGACAGGGAUGUCUGGUGCCUAUUUCUACUUAUUUAUAACUACAUGCAAAAUGACUGUCUCUCGGGAUAUUCUUUGAAAGACUCCAACUUUCACAGAGAAAAACCAACCUGCUCCAAAUGCCCUUGACUACUUCCUUCUUGAAUAAAUUAGGGCUGGAUUUCAUUACC
rnacentral:lncRNA from 1 species